rnacentral:rRNA from 1 species
AGUGAACGCUGGCGGUAGGCCUAACACAUGCAAGUCGAACGGCAGCACAGUAAGAGCUUGCUCUUACGGGUGGCGAGUGGCGGACGGGUGAGGAAUACAUCGGAAUCUACUUUUUCGUGGGGGAUAACGUAGGGAAACUUACGCUAAUACCGCAUACGACCUACGGGUGAAAGCAGGGGAUCUUCGGACCUUGCGCGAUUGAAUGAGCCGAUGUCGGAUUAGCUAGUUGGCGGGGUAAAGGCCCACCAAGGCGACGAUCCGUAGCUGGUCUGAGAGGAUGAUCAGCCACACUGGAACUGAGACACGGUCCAGACUCCUACGGUAGGCAGCAGUGGGGAAUAUUGGACAAUGGGCGCAAGCCUGAUCCAGCCAUACCGCGUGGGUGAAGAAGGCCUUCGGGUUGUAGAGCCCUUUUGUUGGGAAAGAAAAGCAGCAGGUUAAUACCCCGCUGUUCUGACGGUACCCAAAGAAUAAGCACCGGCUAACUUCGUG